rnacentral:rRNA from 1 species
CCGGCGACCGGCGGACGGGUGCGUAACGCGUAUGUAACCACCUUUGACAGGGGGAUAACAUCGAGAAAUUGGUACUAAUACCCCAUAACAUCACCGGAGGCAUCUUCGGUGGUUGAAAACUCAGGUGGUCAGAGAUGGACAUGCGUUGUAUUAGCUAGUUGGUGAGGUAACGGCUCACCAAGGCGACGAUACAUAGGGGGACUGAGAGGUCAACCCCCCACAUUGGUACUGAGACACGGACCAAACUCCUACGGGAGGCAGCAG